GACGAACGCUGGCGGCGUGCCUAAUACAUGCAAGUAGAACGCACAGUUUAUACCGUAGCUUGCUACACCAUAGACUGUGAGUUGCGAACGGGUGAGUAACGCGUAGGUAACCUGCCUGGUAGCGGGGGAUAACUAUUGGAAACGAUAGCUAAUACCGCAUAAUAUUAAUUAUUGCAUGAUAAUUAAUUGAAAGGUGCAAUUGCACCACUACCAGAUGGACCUGCGUUGUAUUAGCUAGUAGGUGAGGUAACGGCUCACCUAGGCGACGAUACAUAGCCGACCUGAGAGGGUGAUCUGCCAAGCUGGGAAGGGAACAAGGCCCAGACUCCUGCGGGAGGCAGCAGGAGGGAAGCUUCGGCAAAGGACGAAAGGCUGACCGGGCAACGCCGCGGGAGUGAAGAAGGUUUUCGGAUCGGAAAGCUCUGUUGUAAGAGAAGAACGGGAGUGAGAGUGGAAAGUUCACACUGUGACGGUAUCUUACCAGAAAGGGACGGCUAACUACGUG
rnacentral:rRNA from 1 species